rnacentral:rRNA from 1 species
GACGAACGCUGGCGGCGUGCUUAACACAUGCAAGUCGAACGGAAAGGCCCUGCUUUUGUGGGGUGCUCGAGUGGCGAACGGGUGAGUAACACGUGAGUAACCUGCCCCUGACUUUGGGAUAACUUCAGGAAACUGGGGCUAAUACCGGAUAGGAGCUCCUGCUGCCUGGUGGGGGUUGGAAAGUUUCGGCGGUUGGGGAUGGACUCGCGGCUUAUCAGCUUGUUGGUGGGGUAGUGGCUUACCAAGGAUUUGACGGGUAGCCGGCCUGAGAGGGGGACCGGCCACAUUGGGACGGAGAUACGGCCCAGACUCCUACGGGGGGCAGCAGUGGGGAAUAUUGCACAAUGGGCGGAAGCCUGAUGCAGCAACGCCGCGUGCGGGAUGACGGCCGUCGGGUUGUAAACCGCUUUCGCCUGUGACGAAGCGUGAGUGACGGUAAUGGGUAAAGAAGCACCGGCUAACUACGUG